rnacentral:rRNA from 1 species
CAGUAGGGAAUCUUCCACAAUGGGCGCAAGCCUGAUGGAGCAACACCGCGUGAGUGAAGAAGGGUUUCGGCUCGUAAAGCUCUGUUGUUGGAGAAGAACGUGCGUGAGAGUAACUGUUCACGCAGUGACGGUAUCCAACCAGAAAGUCACGGCUAACUACGUGCCAG